UACGGAGGAUCCAAGCGUUGUCCGGAUUUACUGGGUUUAAAGGGUGCGUAGGUGGACUUUUAAGUCAGUGGUGAAAGCCUGUAGCUUAACUAUAGAAUUGCCAUUGAAACUGAAAGUCUUGAGUACAGUUGAGGUGAGCGGAAUGUAUCAUGUAGCGGUGAAAUGCUUAGAUAUGAUACAGGACACCGAUUGCGAAGGCAGCUCACUAAACUGCAACUGACACUGAGGCACGAAAGCGUGGGGAUCAAACAGG
rnacentral:rRNA from 1 species